AGAACGAACGCUGGCGGCAGGCCUAACACAUGCAAGUCGAACGCCCCGCAAGGGGGAGUGGCAGACGGGUGAGUAACGCGUGGGAACGUGCCCUUCGGUUCGGAAUAACUCAGGGAAACUUGAGCUAAUACCGGAUACGUCCGUAAGGAGAAAGAUUUAUCGCCGAAGGAUCGGCCCGCGUCGGAUUAGCUAGUUGGUGAGGUAACGCCCACAAGGCGACGAUCCGUAGCUGGUCUGGAGAGGAUGAUCAGCCACACUGGGACUGAGACACGGCCCAGACUCCUACGGGAGGCAGCAGGUGGGGAAUAGUUGGACAAGUGGGCGCAAGCCUGAUCCAGCCAUGCCGCGUGAGUGAAGAAGGCCUUAGGGUUAGUAAAG
rnacentral:rRNA from 1 species